rnacentral:rRNA from 1 species
CAGCCGCCGCGGUAAUACGAAGGGGGCUAGCGUUGUUCGGAUUUACUGGGCGUAAAGGGCGCGUAGGCGGGCGAUUUAGUCAGGGGUGAAAUCCCAAGGCUCAACCUUGGAACUGCCUUUGAUACUGAUUGUCUUGAGUCCGGGAGAGGUAAGUGGAACUGCGAGUGUAGAGGUGAAAUUCGUAGAUAUUCGCAAGAACACCAGUGGCGAAGGCGGCUUACUGGCCCGGAACUGACGCUGAGGCGCGAAAGCGUGGGGAGCAAACAGGAUUAGAGACCCCCGUAGUCCCUGUCUCUUAUAC